rnacentral:rRNA from 1 species
CAGCAUAUCAAUAAGCGGAGGAAAAGAAACCAACUGGGAUUGCCUUAGUAACGGCGAGUGAAGCGGCAAUAGCUCAAAUUUGAAAGCUGGCCCCUUCGGGGUCCGCGUUGUAAUUUGUAGAGGAUGAUUCGGCGAGGGCUCCCGUCUAAGUCCCCUGGAACGGGGCGUCAUAGAGGGUGAGAAUCCCGUAUGUGAUGGGUUGCCUUAGCCAUGUGAAUCUCCUUCGACGAGUCGAGUUGUUUGGGAAUGCAGCUCUAAAUGGGAGGUAAAUUUCUUCUAAAGCUAAAUACCGGCCAGAGACCGAUAGCGCACAAGUAGAGUGAUCGAAAGAUGAAAAGCACUUUGGAAAGAGAGUUAAAAAGUACGUGAAAUUGUUGAAAGGGAAGCGCUUGCAGCCAGACUUGUCCGCAGUUGCUCAGCCGGUCUCCUGACCGGCGUACUCUUCUGCGGCCAGGCCAGCAUCAGUUCGGGCGGUCGGAUAAAGACCUCGGGAAUGUAGCUCCUCUCGGGGAGUGUUAUAGCCCGGGGUGGAAUGCGGCCAGCCUGGACUGAGGAUCUCGCUUCGGCUAGGAUGCUGGCGUAAUGGCUGUAAGCGGCCCGUCUUGAAACACGGACCAAGGAGUCUAACAUCUAUGCGAGUGUUUGGGUGUCAAACCCAUACGCGUAAUGAAAGUGAACGGAGGUGGGAACCCUCACGGGUGCACCAUCGACCGAUCCUGAUGUCUUCGGAUGGAUUUGAGUAAGAGCAUAGCUGUUGGGACCCGAAAGAUGGUGAACUAUGCCUGAAUAGGGUGAAGCCAGAGGAAACUCUGGUGGAGGCUCGCAGCGGUUCUGACGUGCAAAUCGAUCGUCAAAUUUGGGUAUAGGGGCGAAAGACUAAUCGAACCAUCUAGUAGCUGGUCCCUGCGAU